AGAAAGUUUUAACGCCCCUAGACGGGCCCGCGUAGGAUUAGGUAGUUGGUGGGUGGCUCACCAAGCCUACGAUCCUUAGCUGAUCUGAGAGGAUGAUAGCACUGGGACUGAGACACGGCCCAGACUCCUACGGGAGGCAGCAGGGGUCUUGGACAAUGGGCGCAAGCCUGAUCCAGCCAUGCCGCGUGAUGAAGGCCUUCGGGUUGUAAAGCUCUUUUGCCAGGGACGAUAAUGAGGUUGGAGAAUAAGCCCCGGCAAACUUCGUGCCAGCAGCCGCGGUAUACGGGGGCUAGCGUUGUUCGGAAUUACUGGGCGUAAAGCGCACGUGGCUUGUUAAGUCAGAGGUGAAAUCCCGGAGCUCAACUUCGGAACUCCUAU
rnacentral:rRNA from 1 species